rnacentral:lncRNA from 1 species
GGUUCUAUUGUCUCUCCCUUUGGGAUAUUUAGUGGAAAAAGGAUAGUGCUAUAGCGUUGUCUCCUUUUUCCGUGGAUAUACAGCAUUCGUGACAUGAAGUAUUUCCCUAACCCAUUUUAAUUGAUAAUCUUUCUAGCUCAAGGUAUGCACACAUUUUCAUUAUUCUUCUUUCUUUUUCAAUUCUUCUAGUUGAUAGAUUGAUAAUCUCUUUUAUUGCCUUCAAUAUGUUCUGUUCUGUGAUUUAUUGCCUUUGACCAAUGAACCCUUGACCUAGCCGGUUUGAUGACCAAUCCAUUUUUUAAACAUUGCUAAAUACGACAAGAGAGGGUUUAUCAUUAUUGCUCUA